rnacentral:lncRNA from 1 species
UUUUUCCUCCUCCUCCUCCUCCUCUCUCUCUCUCUCUCUCCUCCCCGCAUCUUCCCUUCCGUCGCUUGCGGUCCCUCGGCUAAAAUAAAUUAUUUCAUGUAUAUGCAAACCAUGGUCCGGCGGACCACCGCAACACGGUCCCUUGCACCGCACUAGUCAACGAUUCCGUAGAUAGAAUAAUUAGGCCAGUUCUUCGCUUGGUCCGUGUCACUAUCUGAUAAGACCUACCCACAGAAACAGAGGAAACAGAGCGGAGUGUUUUACCUAAUUAAUUUUUUAAAAAAUUAUUUAUAAAAAUAAUUUAAUUUUUAAUUUAUUUAUUAAAAUAAUAUAAAUAACAUAAAAUAUCAUUCAAAAUGACAUUUUAUGAUGACUAAAUAAUCAUUUAUUUUUUAUAUGAAUGAAAAAAAAAAUUAAAAUCAUAAAAUUGAGUG